AAUUUCUUCAACGAAUCAAUCCACUGAUUACGAAUGAAUCCCACGAGCGAAAAAGCAUCGAAGGGGCAAACGGCCGAUCGGGAAAACGCCGUAGAGGUUUCGGCCGCAGAAUCUCUUUACAUGGCAUCGAGCGAUCCAGGCUCCAUCUUCUACUAACUCUAGGGAUUUCGCCAUUACAGCUACACUUUAAUUCGGAGAUGAGUGACGAGAGAUUCAUCUCCUCUGCUUCUGCCGCCCGAGAAAACCCUAGGUCCUUAGGGUUUGCGCAGGAUCGCCUAGGCCGGCCGCCGGCGGAUUCGGCGCCGCGAGCAACGCCUUCGAUCUUGGACCGCUUCCGUGUGAUGCUUCGCGACCGGGAAGAGGAUUUAAGGGGCUGUGGGGACGAGACCCCGCCUCCACCAGGCGAGAACGAGAUCGUGCGGAUGUAUGGGGAACUUCUUACGGAACUCACUUUCAACUCGAAACCUAUCAUCACGGAGUUAACCAUCAUCGCCGGAGAACAGCUGGAACACGCUAGGGGGAUCGCGGAGGCUGUAUGCGCCCGGAUUGACGAGGUCCCACAAGAUCAAAAAUUACCCGUGUUGUAUCUUCUGGAUAGUAUAGUGAAGAACAUUGGUGAAGAUUAUGUGAGGACUUUUGCUGCUAGGCUUCCUAAGACGUUUUGCCAGGCCUACAAUGACGUCCAUUCCGGCCUGCAUCCUGCUAUGCGCCACCUUUUUCAAACUUGGUCACAAGUAUUCCCACCCUCAGUACUAAGAAAAAUUGAGAAUGACUUAAAGUUUUAUACACCUGAAAGCCAGAGACUAAGUGGCUUGGGGAAUAUGCGAACUUCAGAAACAUCUCAUGGAAUUCAUGUUAAUCCAAAAUACUUGGAGGCUCGACACCAGUUUGAACGGCCUGUGACAGAUAUUCGGCAUUCAAGGGAAGUUUCUUCUGUAAUUCAAACUUCUGGACAUAGAGCACUCACUAAAUAUAAUGAUCAUGAUUUGGAUCACCUUGGUUUUCAACCUCCAAACCUAAGAAUGGUAAGAGAAGGUUCUCCUCAGGCUCUUACACUGCAGAGAUCAUCCAUGUUGGGACAGGAAGGACCAUUCUUAAGUUCACAAAGAAAGGUUUCAACACGUGUCUCUCCCACAAGGAUUGAACUUAGGAGGUCUGCAUCUCCACGAGGUGAACGGUUCCAAAGGAGUUCUCCUGGACGGGUGGUUGAAGCAGCCCCUCGAUUACAUUCUGCACUUGAAGUUCAGUCUCGUAGACCAAAUGAGAGUAAUGGCUGGUUUGGAGGAAGGCUGGCAAUAGAUGACGGUGUCCAGCAAUCUGUUGCCCUCACGACUUACAGUAGAUAUGGAAGGCAGCGCCAAAGAGAGCUCAUUGAUGCCUAUGGUAAUUAUAGAGAUAAAGACUCCCUUCAUGAGAGUUUUCCGAAGAUUCAGCGUAUUAAUGUAAAUGGCAUAAAGGGUAAAGCACAGAAAAUGGAUUGGCAGAAUUCCGAGGAAGAGGAGUAUGUGUGGGAGAAUAUGAGUCCUACUCUGGCAGAUCCAAGCAAACGGAGCAGCACGCUAUUUGAAUCGAGCACCGAGAACUUUGGCUUAAGAGCUAAUUCUAGUAGACCAGGUAUCAUAUCUGAGAAAUCUGAUUUUAGAAGACGCAGUUGGCCUGUUCCACCAAUCAAAGAUUCAACAACUACUUUUGAUGAAAGAAUUGCCAUCCGAGAUUAUGGUAUUGGACCAAUGAAUGAGAUGUAUCUCGAUGAUACAGGAGGCACCAUUGAGCAGUUACGACGUCACGAGAGUUCUCAGCUGGUUCAGGAGCAUGAAUAUUUGCCACAUGUAUUCCACCAUUCCACGCCAGAUAAUCUUAGCCCAAAGUCUGAAGGAAGGCCAUUUCAGUUGCCUUAUUUGGUUAGCGGAGUAACGCCUUCUGUAACUCAGAAACGGAAUAGUCUCUAUGAUAACUCUCACAAUGCUGACAUGCCAUUUUUGAAGUUAUCUAGUGCUACCACCGAUACUCCAAGUAUGGAGAUGUCAACAUUAGUUACUCAAAAAGCACGCGAGACUCCUCUUGCUCCAGUAACAUGGCCUCCAACCCAUAGAUCUCAGCCUUUACAAUUACUUUCCACUCCUAACCUACUGGCGGAUAAUAACGUGCCAAUUGGCAAGCAGCAACAAAAUUUCUCUGUUCCUUUGCCUCAGCUGCAAUUUGAUGCAAAUGGUAGACAAUUAUUAAGGCAGCCAUUCCAGGAGUCUCAUGGAGGCUUUAUUCCGCCGCUACUAGCUCGACCUCCAAGUGGCAUACGGCCUAACGGACAAAGUGGUGUUUUGGAUUCUAUUUUGCCAAAUCCUCUUUCUGGAGUGUCUGUCUCUUCACUACAGCCUAUGCUUGAUAUGUCCUUACAUGGACGUACAGGCAUGCCUCCUUUACCUCCUGGACCACCUCCAUUGUCAUCACAGCCACUACCUUCAUCCCAAAACAGUUGUUCAGCAGCAUCACAAUCUUCAGUUAGUGGUUUUUCAGGAUUGAUCAAUUCACUUAUGGCACAAGGUUUGAUUUCGUUGACACCUCCAUCUCAGUCUCAGAAUACUGUGGGCCUCGAGUUUAAUGCUGAACUUCUUAAGAUUCGUCAUGAAUCUGCAAUAAAUGCUAUGUAUACAGAACUUACAAGACAAUGUACUACAUGUGGCUUACGUUUUACUUGCCAAGAGGAUCAUAGUAACCAUAUGGAUUGGCAUGUAACUAAAAACCGAAUUUCGAAGAAUCGUAAGCAGAAGCCUUCACGCAAGUGGUUUGUUAGUGCUAAGGAAUGGCACUGUGGUGCAGAAACGCUUGGAGCUGAUGCAGUUCCUGGUUUUUUACCCGCAGAGGCAGUCCCAGAGAAAAAGGAAGAAACGGAAUUGGCAGUUCCUGCAGAUGAGAAUCAGACGUUCUGUGCUUUAUGUGGGGAACCUUUUGAGGAUUUUUAUAGUGAUGAGACUGAGGAGUGGAUGUAUAGGGGAGCAGUAUACCUGAAUGCUCCAAAUGGGGACAUUGAAGGUUUAGAACGGUCAGAGUUGGGACCUAUUGUCCAUCUCAAGUGUAGGCCAGAGUCUGCUGAAGUUUCUGGACAAGUCUGAUGUGAAUAGCUGAAGAUCGUAACAUUGAAAUCUAAAUGGGAGGAGAAUAAUUCUGUGUGCUUGAGUGUUGAAGAAUUGAGCCCUUUGUUCUCAAAGAUGUGAAGGCUCAGUUCUUGACAGAUUGUAUUGCUGCAGGCACUGAGGAUAUUGUGGGAUGGUUUCUCCUUCUCUCACCCUGAAAGUGACAUUUUCUUCACUUUUGGCUUGUUCAGAACUAUUGAGAGAUGGUCAUCAGCGGGAUUAGGUUCAAAGAAAUUUGUAAAUUACUUGGUGCAUCCAUCUAUCGAUAGGUAUGCAUUUUUUUUCCCAAGUGAAAAAAAAAAAUCAUGUCUACAAUUCCUUGGUCCAUUUUAAAUGUCUGUACAUGUAAAGUUGUAUAAUAGAAGUUAAAUCUUAUCAUGAGUAUUUUCUAGCAGAUUUUGGUGAUUUU